AACGAACGCUGGCGGCAUGCCUAACACAUGCAAGUCGAACGAGACCUUCGGGUCUAGUGGCGCACGGGUGCGUAACGCGUGGGAACCUGCCCUUAGGUUCGGAAUAACUCCCCGAAAGGGGUGCUAAUACCGGAUAAUGUCUUCGGACCAAAGAUUUAUCGCCUUUGGAUGGGCCCGCGUUGGAUUAGCCAGUUGGUAGGGUAAAAGCCUACCAAGGCGACGAUCCAUAGCUGGUCUGAGAGGAUGAUCAGCCACACUGGGACUGAGACACGGCCCAGACUCCUACGGGAGGCAGGAGUGGGGAAUAUUGGAAAAUGGGCGAAAGGCUGAUCCAGCAAGGCCGCGUGAGUGAUGAAGGCCUUAGGGUUGUAAAGCUCUUUUACCCGGGAUGAUAAUGACAGUACCGGGAGAAUAAGCUCCGGCUAACUCCGUG
rnacentral:rRNA from 1 species